AUACGGAGGAUUCGAGCGUUAUCCGGAUUUAUUGGGUUUAAAGGGAGCGUAGGCGGACUAUUAAGUCAGCUGUGAAAGUUUGCGGCUCAACCGUAAAAUUGCAGUUGAAACUGGCAGUCUUGAGUACAGUAGAGGUGGGCGGAAUUCGUGGUGUAGCGGUGAAAUGCUUAUAUAUCACGAAGAACUCCGAUUGCGAAGGCAGCUCACUAGACUGUUACUGACACUGAUGCUCGAAAGUGUGGGUAUCAAACAGGAUUAGAUACCCUGGUAGUCCACACAGUAAACGAUGAAUACUCGCUGUUUGCGAUAUACAGUAAGCGGCCAAGCGAAAGCAUUAAGUAUUCCACCUGGGGAGUACGCCGGCAACGGUGAAACUCAAAUGAAUUGGCGGGG
rnacentral:rRNA from 1 species